UACGUAGGGGGCGAGCGUUGUCCGGAUUUAUUGGGCGUAAAGAGCGUGUAGGCGGCCAGGUAGGUCUGCUGUGAAAACUCGAGGCUCAACCUCGAGACGUCGGCGGAAACCAUCUGGCUAGAGUCCGGAAGAGGAGAGUGGAAUUCCUGGUGUAGCGGUGAAAUGCGCAGAUAUCAGGAGGAACACCAAUGGCGAAGGCAGCUCGCUGGGACGGUAUUGACGCUGAGACGCGAAAGCGUGGGGGAGCAAACAGG
rnacentral:rRNA from 1 species